UACGGAGGGGGCUAGCGUUGUUCGGAAUUACUGGGCGUAAAGCGUACGUAGGCGGCUUUGUAAGUUAGAGGUGAAAGCCCAGAGCUCAACUCUGGAAUUGCCUUUAAGACUGCAUCGCUUGAAUCGUGGAGAGGUUAGUGGAAUUCCGAGUGUAGAGGUGAAAUUCGUAGAUAUUCGGAAGAACACCAGUGGCGAAGGCGGCCACUGGAUCGGUACUGACGCGAGGUGCGAAGCGUGGGGAGCAAACAGGAUUGAGAU
rnacentral:rRNA from 1 species